rnacentral:rRNA from 1 species
AACGAACGCUGGCGGCGUGCUUCAUACAUGCAAGUCGUACGAGAACGCUCUCUUCGGAGAGUUAUUAAAGUGGCAAACGGGUGAGUAACACGUGGGAAACUUGCCCCUCGGCGGGGGAUACGCUUUCGAAAGGAAGUCUAAUACCGCAUAACAUUAGAGAAUCACAUGUUUCUCUGAUCAAAGCAGCAAUGCACCGGGGGAUGGUCCCGCGCCUGGAUUAGCUAGUUGGCAGGGUAACGGCCUACCAAGGCGACGAUCAGUAGCCGGCCUGAGAGGGUGAUCGGCCACACUGGGACUGAGAUACGGCCCAGACUCCUACGGGUGGCAG